CGGAUAUCAGCCGGCGGGUUACGGCGUUCCAGUACGAGCUAACGAGCAACGUGCACGGAGUGGAAGAGCCCUCGCUGGCAGAUCCAUGUCAGCCUUGCAGUGAUGCUGAGGUUCUUCUAGCAGCCUGCACCAAAGACUUUGAAAUGCCUCCGGACGAAGUGGCUGGGGACAGGAAAGUCUGGCCUUCCCUGCUUAGGCUGCUGCCCCCGCGACCCCAGCUCGAAUAAGCGGAAGAAGAUGGAUGCAUGGAUGGGUUCUAGCAUUAAACAUAUUAAUAUUUAAUUAUACCAACUGUAGUCAUGAAAUUAACUGAAAUGCAUUUUACAUGAGUUAUUUUGAUUUAAGUUUUAAUGUAAUUUGAUAGUUUGUUGGUAAUGUGUUGUUUUUUUUAUUAAUAAACAAAAAUACUUUUCAUUUAUAUUUAUUAUUAUAUGAAAUGUAAAUAAAUGGAAAUAGUCUUAUUUUAAAAAAAUGUUUGAGGAAAUCACUUUAGUACCCCAAAAAUACAAAUUAUUUAUCUAAAUAUAACAUUUAAAUUCCAACACGUAUUGUUUUUCAGGGAUGUGUAUCGUUGGGAUUUUAUCGAUACGGAAACUGAUAUUCCUUACCGAUGAAGUGAAGUGACUUAUAUUUAUAUAGCGCUUUUCUCUAGUGACUCAAAGCGAUUUGACAUCGUGAAAUCCAAUAUGUAAGUACAAUUUAAAGCAGUGUGGGUGGCACUGGGAGCUGGUGGGAGGAGCGCCUUGCCCAAGGACACAACGGCAGUGACUAGGGUGGCGGAAGCGGGAAUCGAACCCAGAACCCUCAAGUUGCUGGCACGCCCACUCUAGCAUCCGAGCUAUGCUGCUACCGACGUUCAUCAGUAACUUGGUUGAAAUAAAGAAGUAAAAAGAUGUUGAAAAAGUU